AAAAUCCAGGAAUAUUUUGCCUUUGAAUAGUAUGAUACCCAAAGAGGCAUUAAUGGACGUCUGACCUGGAUCCACUAUUUUUGAUGAACCUUUGCAUGACGACUUGGACACUGGACUGCCCCGGUAACCCUCAGAGCUGCUCAGUCCCUGAACUAGUGCUACCACAAUCGAAUCUUUGCCUGGGCUAUGAGAUAUGGAAGUAUAAAUGAUGGGAAGGACCUAUGUAAGUUCAUAUUGAAUAAAUUUGAAUCUAAUGUUGAAAACUAGAA
rnacentral:lncRNA from 1 species